ACAAAUACAAAGUUCCUCUGUCCACUCGGACAGAGUCUCCUUUGUAUUUGCACGGCGUACCAACAAUAACAUCAUGAUCUCAACCACAACUUACAUUCACCGAUCAACAACUAAUAUAUGCGAUGCAUUUAUAUACAUCUAGCGAUCCUUAGAGAUGAUUUAUGUCUCUAAACACUCCUUAGGCGCUGGAUGAUGUGAUGCACAGUACAACAAGCAUCCUAUUUAAAAGUGCUCCCCACUCGGAAGCUUUGUUUUUAAAAUCUAUAUAAUCAUCCAUAAAACCAUUCGAAAACCUUUUUAAAACUGUUUCCCACUCUGAAACUCCGUUUUAAAAACCGACUACCUCGAGGGGUAGAAAACCACAAUACGUAAAUACAUAAAUCCAAAACCAAGAUUCAUAAACUCCAAUUGCAAGCAUCAUGGUAAAUCAUCAACUCAAACCAAUUCACAAAUAUCCAAACAUUCAAAGUGAUCAUCUAACUGAACCAUUUAAUUAUUAAUUUACUAAAUACAGAAAUAAAACAUAACCAUGGUGACGGUCACUACUGCAGUCUAGCUAGCACGUCCUCCCGUCGCGCCAAAUGCCAACUCCUUGCCCAAACCACCUGGAAAAUGGGGGGUGAGAAACCACAAUUAAGGUUUUCCAGUGGGUACGACAGAGCCACUAUAAGGAAUACAAUGCUGAGCAUGCCUCAAGAUAACCAACCCAAAACUGUACCCAAUCUCGUGCCUGCUAUAUUGGUCCGCAGACCUCAAGCAUUGCCUGCCACAAUGCUUGUACCGACCUGAUUCAUUCGUCCACUGAACGACCUAUCCGGAUAAGCACACCUCCAGUUGGUAGCCAAACCGACCUGGUGUCAAUGAAUACACCCAAGUACUGUGACUAAAUCAUGCUGAUAUGCUCAAUGCGAAAACCGGCUGAAGCCGGUGCCUUGGCCAAAGGCAGAUACAAGGGCGUACAACGCCGAACCAUGAUCAACUAGAUCGAAAUACACGACAAAGGAGUCGAUGUGCUGCCUAAACCCAAGGUCCACAAAGAUACAAUAUAUAUGCAAGCCUGCUCUACAUGUCUAUCAACAACUAUCAUCAUGCAAUCAAUAAGGUGUAGAAAAACGAACGAUAACCAAAACAACCGACAUGUAGAGACUACAAUACUGAUAUAGAAGAACAGAGGAAGGUGAAAUGAUCUCACCGACUACCACCUUGAAGCACCUGCCUGUCACUAUCGCAUCGGGAACCUGGGUGCGCAACAAGUCAAUCGGACCUACGAAGAUCCACCGGGCCAGUAUCCAACCCACCAACCCAAAGUACACAACCCACAACCCCACACAAAUCCCCGAAAUUGGUUUUCCAAAAUCGAUGACCGAAACUCGUCGAAAAUCCCGAAAAUCACAUCGGAACACCGUCGGGACCCACUAAGUGUCCUGAAACUCCCCGACUUGUGCCACGAGUCAUCUGUUGCCACAAAACACACCGAUUUGGAUGUUGUCACGCCCCGCAACCGCCAGUUUGGUCGGUUUGGGUACGUCGAUCAGACGCCGAACGGACAGAGCCUCCCCUGUCCGCCCAAUGCUAACAACAACAAGAUCAUGUACUUAACAGUUGCCCAGGAAACAUGAAGCACAUAUAUGAUCUAGCAAGUACUAAUACAAGUCGACAAGCAAUCAACAAAAGAGAGAAAGAGCUAGCUAUUACAAUUUCAUUCCACAUAUACAUUGAGUUUACAUUUUUCACCUCCAAAAUGUAUACAUGUUCAUCCACAACUCUCCAAAAUAUAAAUACAUCAAGUCCUCUCAUCUAUAUAAGGUGUACUAAUGCAUAAAGGAAAGUUGUUUAGCUACUAAGGCGCUAUGCCCUUACCACAGUCCUCGCCCGGUACGCUCGAACUCGGCCCUGCAACAAAGUGGGGUGAGAACUAUAUAAAUGUAGUUCCCAGUGGGUUCGGCCGCCGACUCCGCCGAUCUUCUCAUUAGGUCUAAGUAGGCAUAAGCAACAGAUAGAUAGAUAGAUAGCUAGAUAUAUGAAAAUGAGCUACAACAUAGUAAUGUGAUCAACAACAUGCUACUAUGCCUCAACAAUCCAAAUGAAUGAGCUACUACAUAGUAUGCAAUCUACACAUGAUACUAUGCCUCAACAAUCCAAAUGAAUGAGCUACUACAUAGUAUGCGUCCUCUACUAACAUGAUACUAUACCUCAAUAAUCCAAUCUCAUGGCUAAUCCGAAGGUUAUUGCCCAAGGCCAACUCGAAGGUUGCUACCCCGACUCACAUCUCAAAUCUUGCUAGUGGGGAGACUCUGCGCUACUCCCACCCGAGACCUGUCUGUGGGACAACUAUGUCUGCCCCAACGCGAUUACUACUCUGGAGCUCACUACUUGGGUGGAGCGACCAUGCCAAGGUUACACAGACUAUGUGAGUAUGAUCCAAUCCCCUCACUGGGGAAUACCCUGUCUACUAGGGUCAUAGUGCCUCUACUGCACAAGCUCAAUGUCCACAACACGACAAUCGGGAAUCUACUAUCCCUAGGUUCAAAUGCCAUAGUGUUCUGCUACACUAGAUUUGAAUGCCACUCGUUAUGUCAUGAUGUUGUAAGUGUCUCACUACACUAAGUCGACAUGCCACUCGUUCAUGUUAUAGUGUCUCUACUACACUGGUCUAAAUGCCACUCUUUGGUCUCAUUUACAUGUCCAAGUUCAUCUCUUUAUGCCACUAUAGGAUUCCAUGUCACACGACCGAAUCCCCAUGCAUCCUUAGUCCAUGUGUCAAGUCCACAAUGCUACACUACUAAGAAAGCAUGCAAAGAAAUAGAAAUGCAACCAUCUACUCAUCCUAUAAUGCAUAAUGUCAACAUAUGAAAUAUGAUCAAUAAUAUGAUUUAGACAUAAAAAGAAGCCCAUCUGCUUCGUGAUGACACCCCCCACCUUCUGGUGAUGCCAUGAAGCUAGGUUCCAACUUUCGUAAUUUUUCGCGGCCUAAUUCCCUCAACUGCAGCAACCGAAGUCAAAAAUAGGCUUUUCUUUAAUAUCUUCGCACCGACUCGUUGGAUCACCGAACCGAGUUCACCAAUGUGCUCGACUACCUAGCAAAUAGGUAUAAAAGAGAUCAAUCCCUACUUUAGAUCUCAACUUUACAAAACCCCCUUUUUAACCCUAGAUGUUUAACUUUGCGAGAAUACCCCACACGGAGCCUCAAUUCAAGCAAAUAACAUCUACUUAGCAUAAAAGGGUUCUACUAAAAUCAUUUCUAGAGUUUAAGAAACUAACCCUAGAAAUCUACCAUUAAAGUUUCAAAAGCUUACCUCUCCACAACUCCUCCCAGCCAAGGAAGAAGAUGAAGAAGACGAAGAUCGACUUCCCUGCUUCGAUCUCUACCAAUCCCUCCACUUGCUGUCACGCCCCGGGACCCAGCGGAAGCCCGCCCGGCGCNUGGAAUUUUGGUGCCAAGUCCCGCUCCAACAUCCUCGGGAUGCGUGCCAGGGGUCGGGACACUAUCAACGACCCUCCAAAAACUGUGGGAAAGCUCCAAACACAGAUCAAACACUCGAAUCUUGCGAUUUGCUAAGAUCCAGUGUAUUACACUUGCUUCCACCCUUGGGAGAGCUUCUAGAGAGAAAAAGGGAGUAGAAAAGAUGAAAGGAAGUAUUCUCUGACUGUGAACACAAGAGAGGGUGAUGGGGUCCAUUUAUAGGCUGCCACAAUUGCAAUAAAUCCCUCAACAAUUGCCAUUUGCAACAUGCUGUAUUCUGCAGUUUUUUGCACCCGGUACCAGUACACGGUUUUCUGUCACCGGUUCAACGAUUACACAGCAACCAAACCCGAGAGCUACCUUCUCGGGUACAGUAUUUGUACCGGUACAAACCAGGGGUGUCACCAGUUUAACAGCCAAAAAUACUCAAACCCGAGAGCUGCCUUCUCUCGGUUGCCUGCCUGGUACCGGUACAAGCCAGGGGUGUCACCGGUUUAACAGCCAAAAAUACUCAAACCCGAGAGCUGCCUUCUCUUGGUUCCCUGCCUGGUACCGGUACAAGCCCGAUGUUUAACCGGUUACAAAAUGUCCAGACUGCAGUUAGCACUUGUUCGACUUUUAUUUUGCGCCGAGCAAUGCUAAUACUCAUUUAUCUCUUCUAAAACUCAACUUUGACCCUUCCAACAUUAUUGGAAUGUCACUUGGAAUAUGUCCAAGUAUCUCUCUCACCACGCUUUGGUCACUUUGACCAAAAGUGGUUAUUGCAACGGGGAUUCAAUAUCUUACAGACGUCUUGGCAGUAAACACAAGAACACACAACCAAACAAUAAUUUCCGGAUAACUGUUCGGAUCUGGGUUCCCGAAAGUAUCAAUUUCGACACCGAAACCUACCGUCGCUCACCCGUCAUCUCUGAACUCAUGAUAUGAUGAUGGUGACUAGCCAACAAGGCUAAGCGACAACCUCGGGGCAAGCAGACACCGUCGGAUGAAGUCCAAACUGAAACCGCGUUCUUUCGGCGAAUUUCGCCGAAAAAACGCACCGAAAUUGACUUCCGAUUUUCGCGAAGGCUAACGGACCUUGGACGAUCAAUCCAGAGGUCACCACAUACACUUACAUACUGCCCACAGUAGCCACGUGAUGCACAAUUGCGUAAAAGUCCCUAUAUUUACAUAAAAUUCCAUUAUUUUAUGUAAAUAAAGAGGUUUUAUAGCUCGUUCUCGCAAACUGAGGACUUCCGAGGUCCGCCGAGACACCUACCGACAGGUCUCGACAUGCCGGAGGCCGUACUCAUGAUCCGGAGCACAACGGCUCACUGUGGGAGGCGUGGGAGCGACCCGAAUAUUCAGCGAACAGCGUGCACUCGGGGAAAACCGCGCUGACAACGCAAUUUCGAAAGUCGCUGAUCCAAAGUGAGGUGAGAACUAUGAUUGGCAUUGACCGGCAAUCAUUGUGCUCACCUCCGGAGGCAACGGGACAGCCUCGAAUCGCCGAAACAAGCACAAACCUAAAACUAUGCACAAACAACACUAACUAAGCUUACCGGGCAGAGGAGGUUCGGAUCCGGCCGUCAACGGGUCGGCGGCGGGAGCUCUGGCGAUAGGGGGGGGCGGCCGACGUAGGGAGGCCAGGGCUCGCGCCAUCCGGCGGCGGGAGGCGGCGGCGGUGCAACCUGAGGCCGCACGGGCUAGGGCUUGGGGUCAGGAGUAACUGCGGCCACGGCAGCCGGCGGGGCUCCCAGGGGCGACGGCGGGGGAUCGUCGGGAGGAGGUGCGAGCUUACCUCAACCUGAGCAGAUCUUAGGCGGCCGCAAGGAGCUAGGGUGGCGGCUGCGGCCAACGAAAACGACAGCGACGGCGUGCGGGGGUUGCCCGGGCUUCGGGGGAGGCGGCACGACCGGCAUCAGGUUGCGGCUGUGUAGGGAAGAAACCACAAGUAGACCUUGGCCCAAGCUCGGCCUAGAAGGCUGCAAGCGGCUACAGCGCAGCGACGGCAUUCGGGGGUGGCGGCAGUCGACGGGAAGGGACGUCGGGGCUCCGGGGGAGGUGCCGGAGAGGGGCCUGAGGGAGGGGAGUGCCCUGCACCACCCUCGGCUAAAGAAGACAAGGGGAAAGGUGGUGGAGGAGAUGAAAAGGAAGAAGAAGGAGGCUGUGGCUGCUGCUAGCCGGCCGGGGCUCGGUCGGCGGUGGCCGGAAGGCGCGCGUCUAGGUCAGGGGGGAGCAAGAGAGGCGGCUAGGGUCUUAGCUUAGGGUGGCAUGGGCUAGGGUUAGGGUUGGACCAAGAAAACCCUAGAACAUACAUAUAUAAAAGUUGGCUAAAUUAUAAAUUAGUCCUCUGAAGAUAGUUAAUUUCAACCAAGCCCUCCAUAGUGUGAGUAAAAUACGCGNAGGCGCGCGGCUAGGGUAGGGGGGAGCAAGAGAGGCGGCUAGGGUCUUAGCUUAGGGUGGCAUGGGCUAGGGUUAGGGUUGGACCAAGAAAACCCUAGAACAUACAUAUAUAAAAGUUGGCUAAAUUAUAAAUUAGUCCUCUGAAGAUAGUUAAUUUCAACCAAGCCCUCCAUAGUGUGAGUAAAAUACGCGAACACACCCCCACAAUCGAUUUCACACAAAACGGUACAUAAAAUGUCGCACUUUUCACAAAAGUACCGUUUUGCCAUCUAAGACCCCUCCUCGAUCAACGCGCGAUAUCGGGAGAUCCUUCCGUCAGAUUUGCGAACAGAUUGCACCAGUGCGAUCAGCACGACAGAGACAACAAACUCACAACUUUGUUUUGCCUCGUUUGCUCACGGAUUUGCGACAAAACCCGUCCUCUCUCCAAAUGGCAAAGCGAUGCACAAAUACAUAUAAUAUAUGCAUCAUCAGUUUUCUCGAAAUUCAUGCGUAAAACCUGAAAUCCGUCAGCGCCAAUGGUUCCAGAAUAGCAGAACCAUUAAAAACGAGCUAUUGGAUCGCUAUGAACAGAGUCCGAUACGCACCGGAAACCAACUCUACACUGUGGCCUCUACGAAAAAAUGGGUUACUAUUCACUUCAAGUGAAAAGUAAAAGUCGCGUAACUUCUCCAUUUAAACUCGUUUUCUCCCGAAACUUGACGAGUGUUUUUGUAAUUAAAAUACACACAAAACCAUCAUCAACAUAAAGUUUUACUGUUCAUCGCUUCUUAUAAAGAUCGUAGAAACUAAAACAACACGAUUUAUUGAGGAUGGUUACAAUUAGUGGGAGUCUGAACCUCGAUUCAUUGAAUUUGAGAAAAUUCAAGAGCAAUCAAAUUCUGUACAGGACAGACCCACUAUUGUCCCUCACAAUUUGAUGAUUCAUGUUUCAGUAGAACAAGUUGUUUUAUAACCACAAAGUGAUUGUGAAGCUAUCAUUGAUAAUACAAAUCAAGAUGUACAAGUGGAUAAUUCAUAUCAAGAUGCACAACUGAAUAAUCCACAUCAAGUGUACAUGUGGAUAAUCAGAUAGAUUUAAGAAGAUCCUCAAGACAAAGAAAACUGGCUAUAUCAAGUGAUUAUAUUAUCUAUCUUUAUGAGAAUGGCAAGAGUUUAGAUGAUCCUUUUAGUUUUUUCGAAGCCAUAAAUAGUAGUAAUCCUACGAAAUGGUAAAAUGCCAUGAAGGAUGAGAUUGAAUCCAUGAAUCAUAAUAAAAUAUAGGAUCUUAUUGAGUUACGUAUAGGAGUUAAACCCGUAGGAUGCAAGUGGGUUUAUAAAACCAAAUGGGACUCCAAGGUGGCAUUUGGAUUGGGUACAAGAGGGGGGAUAAAGGGUUAUCCCCCCUUUUGUACCUAAACAAAAAACCAUUGGGUGGGAACAAAUCCCACACCCCGGGUUGAGAGAGAGAGAGAGAGAGAGAGAGAGAGAGAGAGAGAGAGAUAGAGAGAGAGAUUUAUUUUAAAUUAUAUUUAAAUUUUUAAAAUUUAAAAUUUAUAAUCUCAAAAUUAAAAUUUUUAAUUUAAAAUUAUAAAUUUAAAAUUUAAAAUUCAAAUAUAAUGAGAGGGGUAAUAUCAUUAUUUUCUAUUUAUAACCAUCAACUAUUUCUCUUAUUCCCAAUAACCAUCCAAACACAAUUUUUCUAGUUCCAGUUUAUACUAAUAUUUUUAUCCAAACAAAAAAAUAUCCUUGUUCUUACAAAAAUCUAUACUUAUACCUAUCUCUGGAAUAACUAGUUUCUACUAAUUUUCCGAACCAAACGAAGCCCAAAGGUAACAUAGAAAGAUAUAAGAGCCAUAUUGUGGUUAAAGAAUUUACUCAAAAAAAAUGCAUCGACUAUAAAGAGAAUUUCUCUCCAGUAUCUAGAAAGGAAUCUUUCUGUAUUAUUAUAGCUCUGGUUGCUCAUUUCGAUCUCGAGCUACAUGCACUUGAUGGAUUAAACUGCUUUUUUAAAUAGGGAUCUCUAUAAAGAGAUGUAUAUGAAUCAGCCUAUAAGAUUCUCGCAAAAAAAAAAGGAGCAUUUGGUAUGCAAAUUAAAAAAAUCAAUAUAUGGACUAAAGCAGGCCUCCUGACAAUGGUAUUUAAAGUUUAAACAAAUCAUUUUAACCUUUAGUUUUAAGGAAAAUAUUGUUAAUCAAUGUAUUUAUCUAAAGGGAUAAUUGCCUAUAUGCCCUCAUACGUUUGGAAAUAUCCGAUUUACCCCUACUUUUUUUUUCUUUCUAAAAUACCUUUCAUAUGUUCCACCGUUAUUGCAAAAUACCCCCGCAAUUAUCUCCUGUUAAGUUAACCUUGGUUAAACGUGAGUUAAAUAUCUACCACAGUUAAAAAAAAAAUUAAAAUGUCAAUUUUGCCCUUAACUUAAGGGCAAAGAAGAAAGGUUGGUGACGGUAAAGGGGUAUAUUGGAAAAGACCAAAAGUCAAAAUACUUUUUAUACCCCUGACUUUAAGAGCAAAUAAGAAAGAAAGUGAUGGUGGAAGGGUAUAUUUGAAAGGGCAAAAUAGUAAUUUUACAGAGAUAACAGAGUUACUUAACAGAUUUUAACUCUAGAGGUAUAUUAGAAAUAUGUUGGAACGUAGGAGGGGUAUUUUCAAUAUUAGCCUUCUAAGAGGGGUAAAUCGGAAAGUCGGGAACUUUUCAGGGGUAUAUAAGCAAUUGCCCCUUAUCUAAAAGUUAGUAGGAGUAAAAUAAUUUUUUUAAUUCUUUAUGUUGAUGAUAUUUUGCUUGCUAGUAAUAAUCUUGGGCCAUUGCAUAACACUAAAGAAUUUUUUUUUCAAAAUUUUGAAAUGAAAGAUUUUAGGUGAGGCCUCAUAUAUUCUUAGUAUUGAAACUAAAAGGGGCAUAAAUAAAAGUUUACUCGAUCUAUCUCAAAGGGCCUACAUAAUGAAAGUUUUGAAAAAUUUUGAAAUACAUAAUUGUAAACCCAGUGUUGCUCCUGUCUUGAAAGAAGAUAAGCUUAAUACUUUUCAGUGCCCCAAAAACCCAUUAGAAGUUGAACAGAUGAGAAAUAUACCGCAUGCCUCUGCAGUUGGCAGUCUUACAUAUGCACAGACGUGCACACGUCCGGAUAUUACUUUUGCCAUUGGAUUACUUGCCAGGUAUCAAAGUAAUCCUGGUAUGGAGCAUUGGAAGGCUGCUAAGAAGGUUAUAAGGUAUUUGAAGGGAACUUUGGAUCAUAUGCUGAUAUACAGGAGAUCAGAUUUCUUGGAGCUAAUCGGGUACUCAGACUCCGAUUUUGCUGGAUGCCCAGAAACCAGAAAGUCUACGACUGGGUAUGUAACGCACUGGACCUUUGCAAAAUUGCGAGGUUCGAGUGUAUGGCUUGUGUUCUGAGUUUUUCCAGAUUUUCUGGUGGGUCGUAGACAGUGUUCUGACCUAUGGCUCGUAUCCCGAGAAUUGUGGUAUUUCAAGUAGCACUAAGGUCGCCAAAGUGGAGGACUUAGGCUGCUCUCGGUUUGCAAAUUUCGGGGUGGCGUACCGGUACGCGGUGAUGGCUGUACCGGUACAGCCAUCGACCCUGGCAGCCAGAGCGCCAACCCGAGGCUCGGGUUGGGCUGGUUCGUGGGAUGUGUACCGGUACACAAACCCGUGUACCGGUACGCAGUGCAGUUCGGGCUGUUUCGGGGAGGGGUGUAUUUGCAAUUGUUACAACACCUAUAUAGGUGACCCCAGCCCCCUUAGCUGCUCUCUUUGAGCCCUAACCAGUGGAGAUCAAGGUGAGUCUCCCCUUCCCUUGUUUGAUCUCCAUUUUUGGUGGAUUUUAUGGUGUUUUGAUCUUUCCCUUCUCCUCUUCUUUGCUUUUAUUGGGUUUUCUCCAUAAUUGAAGACUUGGAGCUUUGAGAGGAGCUUGUUUGUGAGGAGACCUCCAACCCUAGCUGAUUUUGGACUUGGUUUGAGGCUAUUAAAGAGGUUAGUAACAUGUAUUUUUCAUUUGAUACAUGUUUUGUUGAUUUUGGUUAGAGGAAACCCUAGAUUUUGAAUUUUAGGGUUAGAAAUGGGGAUUUUCGAGUUGAGGCUUUUUGAUCUUGAUUGAUCUUAUUAGAACCAUCUUUUAGGUUGGUUUUGAAGGAUUCUUGCCUCCUUUUGGAGAUCAAGAGAGAUAUUCACCAUUUUCGGUGAGUUUUUCCCAUCUUAGCUUGAAAAGCUUAAUGUUUGAGCUAUGUGUUGUUUGUAGGGUUCUUGUGACACUUGUUUCCUUACCUUUAGGGUACUAGGAGAGUGGUGGACACCCUCAUCGGAACAAUCGAAGGGUUCCGUUGUCGUCGGUGGGUUUGACCUAGCCACAUAAUGAGAAAAUCUCAUUGUUGAUGAUUUAAGUAUUGUAAAAUGAAAAAGCAUGCAUAUUCAUGUUCGAUGCAUUAUUUGUGAAUUUUAGAAUGCUUAAAAUGCACAUGUUAUAUACAAUGCAUAUUUGACCUCUAUAUGGUAGAGAGUUUUCAUGUUCGGCUAGAGGCCUAUGGUUAGCAUUCUUACAUUUGAUUAAGAUCAUGUUGCAUAUGGUGCUUAUGGCACAUAGAUUACACUCUUGGACUUAGAACGCAUACUUGACAUGGUUGAACAUAUCGACCUUAAGUGACAUAGGUUAGAGUGUAUACAAAUGGUAAGCUAAUGUCAUAAAGCGGCAUUGGGCUUGGACUAGAGAUGGACUUAGCAAGCUAAUGUCAUAAAGCGGCAUUAGACUUGAUGGAUAUGUGAAUUGCAUUUGCAUGUUAUUAUUAUGAGAAAUUAUGCCAAGUUGAUAGUUGCAUUGGAAAGAACAUACAUGUGGCAAUAUGAGAACACGCUAGAGAGCAUGUGUAUUAAUCUAUUAUUGAUAGAACAAGUUAACGUCAUAAAGAGACUUAGAAGGUGAAAUGUGCUUAGAUUAUAGCAAUGUUUAAAUGUCAUAAAGAGGCACUAAACAUAGUGAAUGUGGGAACUUCACCUUGAGAUUUGGACUUAGUAAAGCUAAGGUCAUUGACAUCGAAAUUAUUGAACGGUUUAACCUUCACAUUGAGACAUAGUACUAGACCUUUGGGUUGCUAGUGACUGUUACCAUGUUAGAGACAUGAUGAUUGGGUACUUGAGGUUUUGACCAUGCUUGCUUGCCAUUUGUGCUCAUUCGCACAUGCUUGUACGGGUCGCUCCCUACAAGCCGGCACUCCGGAGUUAGCCUACGCGACAUAUGCUCGCUCGUGCGGUACUGAGAAGCCUACGGGGUCGAGUGGGACAGACACAUUCCAAGAGUAGGGAUGUUGGGCUACCACAGGCACUUAGGCGGCACAAGCUGGACUACCUUGGUUGGGUCCCUAAUUGGAAAUGGAAAUCGACACGGUGUGACAUAUGGUCAAUCACUACUAGAUAGGAUUAGUAGUGUGAUUCCUUGACAUCUACGGCAAUAGGGUUGGACAUUGAGAUUCAUAGGAUAUUGACGGUAUCGUUAUGGGCAUCGUAGUGGUACAUUGGUUGGCGCCAGGUAUAGUACAUACUAGAUAUGUAGGUUGCUUUUGAGACAUAUAUUCGAUACGUUCAUAGUAUUUAGCAUGUUGCAUCAUAGCAAUAUUUGUUUAAGUAUUGGCAUACUGGUUCAUGUAGAGUAGAUGUACUCCAUGUUGACAUCUACAUACUUAUGGCAAUAGCUAGGAUGCAUCUUAUUAUGAUGCUUUUCAUUUAUCGGCAGUUAAAUCUAUAACUUAUCUGCUCUCUUUGGGCCUAGUGGUGCAGUUGUGCAGGUCAGUAAUUGCCCACUGGGAAACUAAUAAAUUAUUAGUUACUCAUGCGCCAUGUUUUAUUGUUUUCUUUCAGAGCCAUUCCACUUCGGAGGGGCCGGAUCGUGCGAAAGUUUCAGUCCUGUGCUAAGCUACCGCAGUGGAUUUGGCGAUGUAGGUGGUCUAGCUCUCUUUUGUUUUUGCGUUGGAGAGGUUGUGAAGUUUUGACACUUGUUAUAGGAGACCACCCUAGGCUUUUGUAUCUGGAGACUUGAUGAUGUAUUAGUUCCUUUUAUGUUCCAGUUGGUUUAUCUCUUUCUCUCUUCUUUCUAUUUCCGGCUUGUUGAUAGAACUUAGCUGCAAGGUAUUGCUCUAGGAUAUCGUUAGUUAUUGUUCAUUUUUAUCUUUCAUACCACUUUGUUUGUAUGACGCCUUAUAUGUGCAGGCAUAGGGAUGGCGUGUCGUGGCACGGCACCGGCAGCGGCCUUUGCCGCGGAUCCCGGGGCGGUGACAGGUAUAUUUUCUGUUGUUGGUGGAGAGAUAUCAUGGGAAGAGUAGCGACAAUAAAGUGUUAUUUUCUUUCCUUGCAACGAUGGCCUGCAGAGUACAUUGCAUGUUACGAGACCACAAUCACAGCUAUUGGGCUAGGAAUUUGUAUCACAGACUUAAAAAUUGUGACUCACAUUGCUCGUCAAUAAAAAAUUUCUGGAUAGUUUAGCUCGGUUUUCUUUGCCAAAUAACAACAAAUGUACAGUAGGGUGAAACACUUGGAUUACCAAAAUAUCUUAUGUAGGAGAGAAGAUUAGCGGAAGGGAAAAUUCUUUGUUACAAUUGCAAUAAAUCAGUACCAAGGUAUGCUGCAAACAUAAUGACUAAAGGGCUGGCACCUGGGUCAUAUACAGAUCAUGUUAGAAAUAUAGGUUUGAUUAGUUCUUUUGAUAUAUAAGAUUAUAACAUUCUAUCUUCUUUCAAUAAAGUUAAAAUUUAAUACAGCUGUGUUGGACCACUUAAUAGGUAUAAAGUUUCAUCUAUUAACGAAUGGGCAUAUAGUUUUAAGUUCAUUCAUAAAGUUGUGCCAUAUAAAAUUCUCGGCUAGAAGAUGAAGAUGAUAUGAUAAUUAUGGAAAGAAAAUUUCAACAUGAAAAGGUAGACCGCCACAGUUCCUAUCAUUAUAGUCUUUUAGUUUGAGCUAAAGAUCAAGCGAGUUCUAAAGUAUUUAACCAUAAAGUUUUCAAUAAUGCGCAAUAAAGUUUGGAGAAUAGAAAAUCCUUUCAUGGAGUAUGAUUAAUAUGAGCCAAGUGGGAGAUUGUUAGGAUUUUCAUAAAUGUGGCCCAAUUAAUCAUAUUCAAAUCUGAAUUUACUAUAGAUAAAGGUCAAUAUAAUAAAUAUAAAACUACUUGAUAUGGUAUAUUUUAUCCCUAUUCCUAAAUAAAAUAUAAUCCUAAUCAGACUUUGAUGGAAAGUUGAUCUGGACUCUAUAUAAAGGAGUAUUGGUCCUGCCACCUUCUCAUACACAUUACCAUCGGUUUCACACAUACGGGAGAGUGCUUGAGAUAGGAGGAAGAAUCAAAUUACCCAAGUUUGGUUGGUGACGGUCAUACCGGUACCGAACUUUUCACUUCCGUAGAUUAAUCAAAAAUCUCUUCUCUAUAGCGCUCUAUGAGUUAUUUUCUUUAUUUUAUAUAUGUUCCUGAAUUUUAGUAUAUGUUUAAUUUAUUAUUAUUUAUAUACCUAUUAAGAUCUAUUAGAAAUAUGCAAAAGUUUUUUUUACAUCUGUUGUAUAUUUUUUUUUAUAAUUUUCUUUUUUGUUUUGUGUAUUAAAAAAACUGUUGCAGGCAAAAACACACGUGCGCCAUGCGAGCGCUAGGCUUGGCCCGACCUGGCGCAGCCCUCUUUCACGCCCCAGAUUAUAGCAAAACCCGUGCUCGCGUACAGAUCCGCCAUAUACACAGAAAGCCCUGCAUGCACGAAGUGAUAGAAGUACUUGUAAAUAAUAAAAGAGGCUACAACUAGUAGAUAUCAGAGUUAAAAUAAAAUUACUAACAACUAAAAUAUAGUCCACUGUACAUAUAUGAUUCAAUAAAUACAUAAGUCACCUCUCAUAACAGGAAUAAAAUAUAUAAGUACGCUAGCCUUGCCAGCCCUAGAAUGUAUAAUGCACAACACCCAAAAACAGUCCACUACGAGGUACUCUAAUUUGAUCAGCAUGGGUAGGGAAGAAUUAGCUCACGACUCCCUUACCUCAAUCAAAUGAAGCAACAAUGGUGAAUGGCUCUAUAAGAAAAGAUCAACAACAGAGGGUGUGAGAACUAUUAAAAAUAAGUAGUCCUUGGUGGAUACCAUCAUCGACGAUGACUACUUACCCAUUAAGUCCACUACAUGCAAAAGUAAAGAACUGUAACUAAUAGUAGAGCAUGGAGUAGUAAAAGCUGGAAAGAAAAUCUAUAGCUACAAUGUUUCUAUACUACUAAUGCUCAGAAUUGUCAUGCCCUGGGGUCCCUGUUUAAGUUUAAAACCGUUGUGGAAGUGCCCAAUUUUUUUUUUUUUUUUGAAAGCCUUGACCCCAGAGGACGUCAGAUCCGCCACAAAUAUAGGGAAUCCACUAUUCACACGGAUAGAGUCUCCCCUGCAUUUGCACGGUGUCGCACAAGUACAAGAUACAACCACACAGUAUAAUAAUACACAUACAAUCACCAUAUCACAUAUACCAUUCACAUUUAUUCCAUUACCAGUUUAUCAUAAAUCCACAUCUAUUAGUUUAAAACGUUUCCCACUCGGAAACUUAUUUUGAAAUACUAAAAAUCAUGAAAACUGGAAAACCCUUUUUAAAACUGUUUUCCACACGAAAACCUUUUCCUUUAAAAACACGCUAUACCACGAGAGGAAGAAAACCGUUUUCAUCUCAUAAGAAAACCAUAAGUACUUUAUUACUUUCACAAAACC
rnacentral:lncRNA from 1 species